CUCAGCUGCUUUGACUUUUCUGAGCUUAUUAUUGCGCGGCGCGACUAAAAUUCGUGUCUACAAGUUAAAGAUUAGCAUGGCCGAACAAACACUCAUCAUGAAUAAUAUAUUCUAUCCAUGUUUCGGGCCAAUACAAGUUCCAAAACUAAGUCGACAAUUAUAGUUAUACUUUAAGAUGCUACAUGUUGUAGUAUGACAUACUAAGUUAAUUAAGGGAGAUAGGUAACUCAGUGCUUUAUGACCAUCCACUACAAGAAAACAACACUUUGGCGAGGAAAAUUAACGAGGAAAUAAAAUCCUCGUAAAAUUACGCCGACUUUACGAGGAAACUACAAAGAAAGAACAAAACGUCGUUAUUUCCUCGUAAAGUAACGAAGAAAACAUUUCCUCGUUAAAACAACGUAAAGUUACGUGGUUUUAACGAGGAAAUUCUCUUUCCUCGUUAAAACCACGUAAAGCUUGCAUCAUCUUUACGAGGAAAUGAGGAAAUAGAGUUUCCUCGUAAACACAACGUAAAUUCACGUCUUCUUUACGAGGAAAUGUUUUACGUGAUUUUAACAAGGAAUACUAAAGCACAUUUUUUUUUGCUACCUACCUAUUCCUCGCAAAUUCCUCGCAAAACUUCAACUACCAGAUUCAAAAAAUUUCUAUAAAUAUGGAAGUUUCAACAUCAUUUUAAACACACCAAUAUUGAGGUUUGAGGUUUGGAAUGAAGAGUAGAAGAUAAGAAAGAUGGUGUUUGUGGUUUGGGGUUUUAGAUUUUAAGCGUUUAGAAAGCAUACCUUGUUAAUUCCUCGUAUUUAACGAGGAAAUAACGAUGAAAAAAAAAAUGCGAGCCUCGUUAAUUCCACGUAAGACGAAAUCGUCGUAAAGGCCUCGUAAGCUUACGUGGAAUUACCGAGGCCCGUUGUUUAUUUCCUCGUAAUUUCCUCGUGGGUUUACGAGGUUUUAACGAGAUAUUUUGUCUAAACCCCUAAACCCUAAACCCCAAACCCUAUCUUUCUUCUAUUUUGUCUAAAUCCCAAACUCCAAACCCCAUUAAUAAUUUUAUAAUUUUCAAAAGAUUAUAUUUUCAAAUCUUCAAAAGAUUGUAUUUUUGUUGCAAAAUAAAUAAUUUGAUUUUGUAUAAGUUUAUAUUAGAAAGAAGAGAUUGAUAUUAGAAGUUAAAGAAUUGUGGUUUUAAAUUUUGAGUUUUGAAAUUUGGAAUGAAGAGUAGAAGAUAAGAAAGAUGGUGUUUGUGGUUUGGGGUUUUAGAUUUUAGGCGUUUAGAAAGCAUACCUCGUUAGUUCCUCGUAGUUAACGAGGAAAUAACGAUGAAAAAAAAUGCGAGCCUCGUUAAUUCCACGUAAGACGAAAUCGUCGUAAAGGCCUCGUAAGCUUACGUGGAAUUACCGAGGCCCGUCGUUUAUUUCCUUGUAAUUUCCUCGUGGAUUUACGAGGUUUUAACGAGAUAUUUUGUCUAAACCCCUAAACCCUAAACCCCAAACCCCAUCUUUCUUCUAUUUCGUCUAAAGCCCAAACUCCAAAUCCCAUUAAUAAUUUUAUAAUUUUCAAAAGAUUAUAUUUUCAAAUCUUCAAAAGAUUAUAUUUUUGUUGCAAAAUAAAUAAUUUGACUUUGUAUAAGUUUAUAUUAGAAAGAAGAGAUUGAUAUUAGAAGUUAAAGAAUUGUGGUUUUAAAUUUUGAGUUUUGAAAUUUGGAAUGAAGAGUAGAAGAUAAGAAAGAUGGUGUUUGUGGUUUGGGGUUUUAGAUUUUAGGCGUUUAGAAAGCAUACCUUGUUGAUUCCUCGUAGUUAACGAGGAAAUAACGACAAAAAAAAAUGUGAACCUCGUUAAUUCCACGUAAGAUGAAAUCGUCGUAAAGGCCUCGUAAGCUUACGUGGAAUUACCGAGACCCGUCUUUUAUUUCCUCGUAAUUUCCUCGUAGGUUUACGAGGUUUUAACGAGAUAUUUUGUCUAAACCCCUAAACCAACCCCAAACCCCAUCUUUCUUCUAUUUUGUCUAAAUCCCAAACUCCAAACCCCAUUAAUAAUUUUAUAAUUUUCAAAAGAUUAUAUUUUCAAACCUUCAAAAGAUUAUAAUUUUGUUGCAAAAUAAAUAAUUUGAUUUUGUAUAAGUUUAUAUUAGAAAGAAGAGAUUGAUAUUAGAAGUUAAAGAAUUGUGGUUUUAAAUUUUGAGUUUUGAAAUUUGGAAUGAAGAGUAGAAGAUAAGAAAGAUGGUGUUUGUGGUUUGGGAUUUUAGAUUUUCGGCGUUUAGAAAGCAUACCUCGUUAAUUCCUCGUAGUUAACGAGGAAAUAACAACGGAAAAAAAAAAUGCGAGCCUCGUUAAUUCCACGUAAGACGAAAUCGUCGUAUAUGCCUCGUAAGCUUACGUGGAAUUACCGAGGCCCGUCUUUUAUUUCCUCGUAAUUUCCUCGUGGGUUUACGAGGUUUUAACGAGAUAUUUUGUCUAAACCCCUAAACCAUAAACCCCAAACUCCAUCUUUCUUCUAUUUUGUCUAAAUCCCAAACUCCAAACCCCAUUAAUAAUUUUAUAAUUUUCAAAAGAUUAUAUUUUCAAAUCUUCAAAAGAUUAUAUUUUUGUUUCAAAAUAAAUAAUUUGAUUUUGUAUAAGUUUAUAUUAGAAAAAAGAGAUUGAUAUUAGAAGUUAAAGAAUUGUGGUUUUAAAAUUUGAGUUUUGAAAUGUUAAGAAGAUUAUAUUUUCAAAUCUUCAAAAGAUUAUAUUUUUGUUGCAAAAUAGAAAAUUUAAAUAAAUAAUUUGAUUUUGUAUAAGUUUAUAUUAGAAAGAAGAGAUUGAUAUUAGAAGUUAAAGAAUUGUGGUUUUAAAUUUUGAGUUUUGAAAUGUUAAGAAGAUAUUGAGGUUAAAAGGAAGAUAUGUUUGUAAUAUAUGAAGUAGAAUAUAAGAAAGAUGGGGUUUAGGGUUUGGGGUUUGGGGUUUCUGAUUUUAGAGGUUUAGAAAUUUACCUCGUUAAAAACUCGUAAUUUACGAGGCAUUUACGAGGACCAGAAAGACGGGCCUCGCUUAUUCGUCGUUGGAUUUAGGACGGGCCUCGCAAUUUCCUCGUAAGUUUACGAGGAUUUUACGAGGAAAUAAAAGACGGGCCUCAUUAAUUCUUCGUAAAUCUACAAGAAAAUUGCGACGCCUUCGUAAGUUAUAUAUACAACCCAAACCUCACAAUCUCCAUUCGUCCCAACUUCCUCUCCAAUUCCUCUCCAUUUCCUCUCCAACUCCUCUCCCAUUCCUCUCUCCUUCGAAAUGGUUCGCAAGAACAUGCUUACUGCUCACUACAGAGACAUGUUCGGUGAGUCUGGUAGUCAGUUAGACUCUCCAGGUUCUUCUUCAGGUGCCGGCGGUUCCGUGUGAGUGGACUCGAGGCCUUCAUCGACGUUAUAGCGGCCACAAAUCCGGAAUGGGAAACUUUAUUGAGGAACAUGAAACAACAAAAUCUCAUUCCAGACGAGUCAUCGGGCACACAUGACGAGGAGGAGCAAGGAAUUCUACGAGGCGAUGAACGGGCCUUAGUUUUUUUCGGUUUAUGUAUUAUAAAAUCCAAAACUUAUUUAUAUAUAAAAUAUUUUGUUGCA